CAGCUUUGGGUGCUGACGGUGGGGG
rnacentral:piRNA from 1 species